CUGUGAAAAUUGAAUCAACAACAAUGAGACACCGCCAUCAAAUUUUCCACAAUGCUUUUCUUUGUACUCGCACACAGUGUGCAUCUCAUUUCACCGAGGAGACAAUUGCAUAAGAUAAUGUUCCAGAUCCAUGAGAAGAUUAGGAAGGAUCAUUUUAUCCAUUUCUCACAGCGGUCAUAUAGUUUUCCCACUGUAUGAAACAACUCUUUUUUUUCUCAAGGUCAAAUGUGACAACAGCUUCAACUUCCCCAGACUCAAGUCGAGGAAAAACUGCAGUGUGCGCUCAGUAUUUUCUUUCGGUGACAAGAGCUGGCCUUCGCUGUUAUUCAGCCCAUUGAAAACGAUUUCAGAUAUGAAAGGAGACGCUUCGUAUCUGAAAAUGUACAUUAAAUGGUGUCAACAACAUCCCAGAGGUCAGAGUAGAGUCCCUGCGGAGUCGGAAUCCGGCUGCUGCGCUCGCAGACUCGACACCCCCCUGAGUGGCGGCUCUGUGAUGGCUCUCAGUUUCCCUCGUCAUGUCCCUGGCAGCUUUGACACAGGGAGCAAAACAAGGACUCUGAGCUGCCACUGGGCACCGGGCUCAUCCAGGGUUUUCAGCCUUCAAGAGGACUGAAGUCCGCCUUUAAGCCCUGUAACGACGACAAUGAUGGUGAUGAUGACGGUGAUGACGAUGAUGAUGAUGAUGAUGAUGACGGUGAUGGUGGCGUACCUGAUGGAGUCCCUGUGGUGACCGCUCACCCUACCUGCUCCCGUCGCUGCCGCAGGGUGAGUCACCUCUGCUGCCACUCCACUCAGCUCAACCUUUAUUAGCUCUCUGCCCAUUAAACAUGACCUGAGUGCUCAUUCUGAAUGGAGAUGUUUAAUUGCGUGUUGCUGAGGCAGUGCAGUCCUAAUAGACUAAGUGCUAGCUCCUCGGGCGACUACAUGAACUGUAUGGGAACUACAGGACGAGCCCCGCCCUACGCCACUGUUUUUGUCUAUUCAAUAAUAUAAUACAUAUACAAGCUUUUUCCCUUAGAUUUAUAUUAAUAUCAGAUGGUUCUUUGCCCACAGCAUUUAUAUUUACAUUUAUUUAGGUCAGGUACAGUUAAACCUGAUUCACUCUAAUGCAUGGCGUCAUUUCACAUAUGAGGAGCCCUCCUGAGAGCUGAGGUCUUCCACUGGUCACUUUCUGCAGGGUUUUCUUUUCUUCGUGCCCAGAGGCUGCUUUCUGUCCACGGUGGGAGGUUCGUUCAUUGUCCCCUCCCAUUUACGAUCCCUUGUUUGCCUUGAAUUUCUGCAGCAACUGUGAGUCAGACCCCAGACAUGCUGGCCACUGAUAGAUUCCAUGAGAGAGUACUGGAUACCCUCAAGUAAUUACUGCAGCAUCCCAAAUUUGUUGUUUUUUUGUUUCUUGAUGAUUUCCCCGGGUAUCUCUUUUCAAACAGAAGACAAUGGAUGCAAUCAUUUCUAUAUUUUGUUUCCCACCGUCGGCCAGAAUGCUGCUAAUAAUCCGUAAAGCUAACGUGUAAGCGAGCCCGGCCAAACGGGGAGGGUCACGCCGGAACAAAACAGAUCAAGUUUGCUGCUCGGGAGCGGCUCCGCGUCGCUCGUUUCGCGUGCAGGAGCGAAUGGACGGAACCGAGCAUCUGACAGAGAUUGCUUCAAGAUGAGAUAAACAGAUGUUGGCUGGACGCGGGGAAACUCGUUGAGUACAUGUACGUCAACUGUGUUUGACACUCACAAACAGAUGCACCCAGGAUCCAAAAUGUCUGCCUCACGCCACCGCUGGAGGAUUAGAAAUAUUCAUAAUAAUAAUGCCAAUAUUAACAUUUUACAUGUGUGCAACUGCUUAAAAACGUCUCUGAUUCAGUAGAAUACGUUUCACGUCUCUCUUGGUGCUGAUUCUGGCGGGUCCCUCAGCUCCCACUCGCCUCCUCCACGCUGGGCUCAGGCGCGGGGUAGAAGAAGCUCGGUUUCUCGCCGCCGCCUAACAGAGGGAUGAAUAUUGUUGUGUGAAAUCAUUGCUUGGAAACUUUAACAACACACUCCUCAUCACGUCGAGCAUAAGGAGCUGGGAGGGGGCACAGGGCAGCCGAGCCGUGAAUAGGCCUCAUCAGCGAGGGUGAGGGUUCAGAUCCUUAUAUUAGUUAUACAGGAGUCACCCUGCCCGACCUAAGGCAAAUAAGCCACUUAACGCAAUUAUUUGCAAUCACUAAAGGUGGUGUUCAUUAUAAAAGAAUUUUUCCUUCUUGCCUCAGCAUAAUUUCCUAUUGUUCAUGUGAAAAUGGCAACUGAAAGAGCAUUUUGAGUGUUAUUGUGGAGAGAAGGGCAUCUUUUUUAAAGACUGCUUAAAAGUCCGGGUGAACUUUCAAAUUGUGUGAUAAAACUGAGCCGUAUUGUGCGUUGACCCUCGCUGAGAGAGAAAAUGGCAGCCUUGCGGAGCACAUUGUAUCGGGCUGAUUUGUAAAUAUAAGCUUUUGAAACGCAGCACAAUGCGCCAUCAUGAAUAUUUCAGCUGCGGCGCACUGGAUGUUAUUGUAAAACCUGGAGUGUUUUUUUUUU